UACGGGGGGAGCAAGCGUUGUUCGGAUUUACUGGGCGUAAAGGGCGCGUAGGCGGCCACCGCAAGUCGACUGUGAAAUCUCCGGGCUUAACCCGGAAAGGUCAGCCGAUACUGCGGGGCUAGAGUGCAGAAGGGGCAACUGGAAUUCUCGGUGUAGCGGUGAAAUGCGUAGAUAUCGAGAGGGACACCUGCGGCGAAGGCGGGUUGCUGGGCUGACACGUGACGCUGGAUGCGCGAAAGCUAGGGGAGCGAACGGG
rnacentral:rRNA from 1 species